GUAACAAAGCGACCCAGGAAUGCUUGGGCGUGCCUCCACCCACGCCGGCGUCGGCGGGCGUAUUUCGCCUCACAGUAGGUCGCCGCGACCCGUUGCUUUUGGGGACGUCGAAGGCCCGGACGGAUUGGUACCCUACCGGCUGGGGAUGCGGCUUCGGCUUCUCCUCUUGUCCGGUGGGCGAAACCGCCGGUGUCCUGGCUGCCCUGCGACGGUCGUAGAGACGAGCCCUCCCCUUCGGGGGGGCGGCUCUCGCGGCGUGCAAAAGGUCGGUGAUCCACCCGACCCGUCUUGAAACACGGACCAAGGAGUCUAACAUGUGUGCGAGUCAGUGGGCGCACUAAACCCAGAGGCGUAAUGAAAGUGACACGGGUUCGGCUGUCGCCUCGUGUGGCAGCCGGACUCAGGGCCGAUCCCUCACCGGUUGCCCUCGCCUCUCUCCCGCGUCUCGGUAAGCCGGGUGAGCUAUUUUCCCCGGCCGCUGCUGCGGGGCUCGGGGGGAGGCGGGGUGCGAUGGUGUCUGUAAAAAAGAGCCUGCUGUUGCAGGGGGGCGCAGGCCCGGGACUUGCCAGGACGCCGCGAGACUGUCACUUUGCUGUGAGGCUCUCGGGCCGAUCAGCGGGUCAUGCGUGCAGUCGGCAAGUACCAUGAGCAGACAUGUUGGGACCCGAAAGAUGGUGAACUAUGCCUGGCCAGGAUGAAGCCAGAGGAAACUCUGGUGGAGGUCCGUAGCGAUUCUGACGUGCAAAUC
rnacentral:rRNA from 1 species